rnacentral:lncRNA from 1 species
AUGUCAAGUCAAGCACUUGAGUGGCAGAUUUACUCUGUGUCCAUUGCUCAUUAUAAUAAGGGCAAUCUAUUUGCUCAUGACAUUUCCUCUCAUUUAGGCUACCGAUUGAGUAUUGGGCACAAUUGUGGUGGGCUAGAUCAAAGUGCUAACUGGAUAGUGGUCUUGGACACUGAAAAGUUAAAUGGAGCAUUGGAAAGGUGUUUGUCACCUCUGAUCAUCAAAGAAGUCUGUUGACAUGCAAGGACCACGACAGGAUUGGAAACUACCCAUGAGGCAGGGAAGCUUAAUUCACCAGGCUGUCGGGGCUGUCUCCUGUUUCCUCUUAACCUUCCCCAAACGAAUAUUGGUGAAUUUGUUCCAACAAAGACAUUCCUCAGGAAAAACACAAUUUCUCCAAACCGCUACAGUAGAGGCCAAACCAUGAAAGAAGAUAGCCUCUCCACAAACAUGCAAUCUUCAGACUGAAGAGACUGUCUCAUGCCUGUCAUGGCAGGAGGAAAGAAACAGAAAACAGAUGAAGUGAUGAAAUGUCCAAGGUUGGGAUCAACACAGAGCCGCAAUGGGCAUAAACAACAGUUGCAAUAUAUCGAUUUUGUUGUUUUAUUGUCCGAUACUUUCUCUGGAUCAGAGCCACUGUAGGAAUAAAGACAGAAAGACAGGAGAGGAAGGAAAAGAC